GUUAUACUAUUAUUUGUAGCGAUGUUCACCAUCCCCUAUAUUAUCAAAUGUCUUGCAGGAUUUUGCUCAGCACACAUGAUUAAUAUAAUCUAAGUAUCUAACAACAACACUCUGUACAUGGAAUCAACUUGCAGUUUGAAGUCGAGACAAGAAUCAUAUAUGUCUGUAUGGCUACUCAAAGCUGUUUGCGUUGCAAUCAAGGCCAGUAGAUGGUCAUUGUGUAGAAUAUGAUUGUAAUGUUGUAAUGAUUGUAUUGUGAAAGAUUGUAUUGUGAAUGAUUGUAAUGUUAUAAAAUAUCUCUUCUUAUAUUGUAAUGUUGUAGUGUGAAUGAUUUUAAAUGAUGUA
rnacentral:lncRNA from 1 species